GCCGCACCGGCCGUGCCCGCGCUACCUCCUGGACUGCGGCGGGGGAGGCGGGGGCCUGGC
ensembl:miRNA